rnacentral:rRNA from 1 species
AAUCUUCCACAAUGGGUGCAAACCUGAUCCAGCCAUCCCGCGUGUAUGAUGAAGGCCUUCGGGUUGUAAAGUACUUUUGGCAGAGAAGAAAAGGUAUCUCCUAAUACGAGAUACUGCUGACGGUAUCUGCAGAAUAAGCACCGGCGAACUACGUUCCAGCAGCCGCGUUAAUACGUAGGGUGCAAGCGUUAAUCGAAAUUACUGGGCGUAAAGCGUGUGUAGGCGGUUCGGAAAUAAAGAUGUGAGAUCCCAGGGCUCAAACUUGGAACUGCAUUUUUAACUGCCGAGCUAGAGUAUGUCAGAGGGGGGUAGAAUUCCACGUGUAGCAGUGAAAUGCGUAGAUAUGUGGAGGAAUACCGAUGGCGAAGGCAGCCCCCUGGGAUAAUACUGACGCUCAGACACGAAAGCGUGGGGAGCAAACA